rnacentral:lncRNA from 1 species
UUAGAUAAAAAUUUGUAUAAGGCUAUAAAGGAAAACAACUUUUUUCCAAUUUGUGCUUUAACAGUAAGCUUGAUUAUUUCACUAUAUAUAUGCUACUCAGUCUAUUUGUAUUAAUAAUAACAACAUUGUGGCACUUUAAAAUAAUAUUGCAUUUUAUAGUAUUCAAUAUUAGGUUCAAUGGAAAAAGUAUUUUCACUAAAAUAUCUAUUCUAUGGAAAAGCCUUUUAACAUUGAAGAAAUACAUUCCAAGUUAAUACUUGUUGUGUAUGAGGCUUAGGUUACAGAAUUUAAAAAAAACAAUAGCACCAGCACAUAAACAUUUCUAGUGAAAAUAUUAGAAGAAUUGAUACCAAAAUGUAAAGUACCUGUUAUGCUGCUUUAAUAAUAUGUAGAGGGGGUAUAUUAUUAUUUUACCAACUCCUUCCAUGGUGGUAUUUCUUCCACCAUGGAUUUUAUAGGUGGCAGAUUGAUUGCAAUUUAAUUGUUUAAUGGUAAAAUUUUCAAAAAUUAGAAAUGCUUGAUUUCAAAGGUUAAUAUUGCAUAUGACUGAAAAAAAACAUUCCUUCCAACAUAAUUUAACUGAACUAAUGUUUUAUACCAACCAGGAUUGAUAAGUCACAUAAACAUAAUUUUUCUAAAAUAAUAAUCUUUUAAAGAAACUGUCAGUUUCAACUUGUACAUCAUAACUGUUUGGUUUAUUGUUUCUAAAAUUUUAGCUUGGUUUAUUUUAGGAUGCUGGAUUGAGGAAGUUUCAUCUCAAGGCCAGCGAAAGGAACAACAUUUUCAGUGUACCGUUUGUUCCCGUUCCUUUAACCGCAAGGGAAACUUGUCAAGACAUAUGGUGUUGCAUGCGCCAGUGAGAAGUAAAUUCACAUGUCAGCUUUGUGGGGUAGAAUUUUUUUGGAGACAUCAUUUAGUUAGACAUUGGAGAUACAAUCAUUCUGAACAUUCUCAUGAAAACUUGCAGUCAUUAGCUCUUCAGUGAUGGAUGUAGGUUAGAGAUGUCAGGAGUCAUGCAGUAAUCGUAACAGUCAAUUUUUGUUUGUGUCAUGUAAUUAUCAUGUAGAAUUGUGUUUUACUUUCAUAUUUACUAACGACUUGUUUUACGUAACCUGUAAGUUGUUGUUUUUGUGACGUUGGUUGUUUCUUGCUUUGAUUGAAAUGUGAUGUCAGUUAAAUAAUUAAAUUUGAUACUUUAGAGGAACUGUAGAAAAUCUCGUAUAUUUUAUAAAAUGUUAUAAUCAAGAAGAAGAAUUUGUGAAAGACUCGGUCUUUAAAGCCGUUUAACUUCAUAAAAUACAGGCAAUAAUAGCCUUUCGUUUGUACUUGCUGAAAGCAUUCGCGUGCUGUAUGAAAGAGCAAUCGAUCGUUCGUCAACUAUUGCGUUGGUCAGGUUAAAGUUGAGUCGAAAUACAGCUUUAAUGACGUCACUUUUAAUCGAUGUAUUUGCCGCAGUUUGCCGGGAUACAGCAUGACAGCGUAUAGAGUUAUGCAUCGUUUGAAAUGACAUAAAAAAAUAAAUUUAAAGAGUAUAAGGAUAACAAAUUUAUUGUCUGUAUUAUAAAUGGCUAAAAUGAUGUGGGAUAUAAAAUAGAAAAAUAUACAAUGUUUCGUUAACCAAAUUCAGGCGAUUGAAGCAUUAUCAGUCUAUAUUGGUUAUGGUGGGUGGAAGACGAAGAGGUAGACCACCACGUGCUGCACACAUGUCUCGUGAACCGGGUCUCAUCUGUUCUAUCUGCAAAACCAGUUAUACUAACAAGACCAUCCUGAAAAACCAUAUGAACAUGCAUCGACCCCAACGGCAGGUCUACUACUGUGAAAUCUGUAACAAGGGUUUCUACUGGCAGACUAAUGUUUACGCUCACAAACGAAUGGUGCAUCAGACUCCUCCACUCAGACACUACUCACCGAUAAGGUCGAACAAAUCACCACAAAUGUCCUCAAACUAAUGAAUGUUUGUUUACACCACAUAUCUUACCCACACCCUUUUCACAAAAUCAGAGAAAAGGUCACCCCAGAUGAGGGCUGAAACACGUUCCCUUAUAUAUAUAUAUAUAUAUCAUAUAAUAUCUUGUACAUCUGAUUUUAAAACGCGCAGAAUUUCCACACCGGUUUUAUUAUGCUCUGAUUGCGUAGUUUAUACAUUUGCGUAAAAUAACCCCCUCCAUUUCUUUUGUAAUCGAAAGUCGACGUGUUAUUGCAAAAAUUUUUUAAAUACAAGUUUUGUGACUGUAUUGAGUUAGGACUAGCAGUAAUUUGUCAAUAUCAUGUAGUAAUUAUACAUCAAUAAGUCUUACUUAAAUUCUAUGAUAUCGGUAUUAAUACAGUGUAGCAACGAGUAGAAAGCAGGAAUUUUAAUAAGUACUAUUAUCUCUGUUGUAUGGACGUGUUUGUGUGUUAGAUGUUUAACGUUGCCCUGAUAUCGGUGUUAAUACAGUAUAGCAACGAGUAGAAAGCAGGAAUUUUAAAAAGUACUUGACGUUCAACUCAUAUAUAUAUGAAUAUUAUGUGUGUUGUAUGGACGUGUUUGUGUGUUAGAUGUUUAACGUUGCCCUACUCUAGUUAUAUAGGUGCCGUAACAUUUUGUGUUUAGAUUUUAACUGAUAUUAUGAAAAAUCUAGCUAAUAACUAUUGAACGUAUAAUUAUGUAUUGUUUUGUGUGUGUAUGCUCAGUGCCAUACCGUGUAAACUUUUAUGUUGUAUUUUUGAUAUUGGUCAAGUUUUCAAAUUACGUAGUGUGCCAUAACAAUUUGUGUGAAUCUAUUGUAUAUUGAGGAACGUAUAUUCAGAGAUGUGCUUCAUUUUUCAAUAUUAUUUAUUUAUUGAAUGUAAUAUCUGCAUAUACAUUUAAGUCACAUUUGUAUAUCUAUCUUUAGUUACAGCUGAGCUUACAUGACGUCCCUAGGUGGGUCGGGUUAAGAUCCAGGGUUCGAUUCCCAGCGCGGAUAUCCCAUUGUGUAGCUUUGCGCUUAAACAAACAAACAAAGCUUACCCUAACAAUUUUGAAGGUAGUUCAUUAAUAAUAUUAUUACAAAGCAAAAUUAUUAAGCCUUCUAGAGUAAUUCGAGUUGAAAAUCAAACUUUACCUAUUUACUAAAAGUAAAAUAUGUCAAAAGCUAAUAGAACUUUUCAUAAAACCUGUAAUUGAAUCAUUGCUUAUGAAUUUUAUGCUUUUUAAACGUUGAACCGAAAAUAAAAAACUUAUUUUGGAAACUUAAAUAUAGUCCACUAUAUUUCAUCGAAGUUGAUUAGAUCUAACUUUGAACUGCCUCAGAAGUGCCACGUAGCGGUUUAAGCAUUUUUUCUUUUGUAGGUAAAAUUAUUUUUAUCAAAAUAUAUGCAAGUGACUCACACUUAAUGAUUUGAGAAUACCAAUCAUUUCAAAAUUGUUUAGAUGAAAUAUUUACUUCCACGAUAUACAGCUGUAUGAUAUUUCUAUAUGAUAACAUCAUUAUUUAAGUCUUAAUACUUGUUUUAGGCGAGCUCUGUAAAUCUUUGAAAAACAAGGCGAUUCUUUGGAGAGGUUGCGACACUUGCCCAGCAAAAGAUAAUACGCGUGAUCCCAAGAUAAUACAUAUAAAAUAUGGUUCGGUCGUUUUUGUACUCUUACUAAAGAAUGUCACAUUUAUUUCUAACUUCUGAAUUAACCCACUUUAAAUUAGUAUAUAAGACAAUCACAUACUGGAGGUGGCCACAUACUUUCUUCGUAUUUUAGCUUGAGUUAUCAAGUGCACGGUGUUAAAAAAUAUACUGGUUUUUCUGUAUUGUGUUAACACGUGCAGUGCGAGUUACAAUUGCAAGGACACUUAGCUUAUAUUUCAAAAUUUCUAACCCAAUAUCAUGAUACUGGAAGUUAUUUAUGAGGGUAAGCCAUAACUUUCCACUGUAGCUUUCUUGUUGGAAGAGUAAAUCAUUUCAUUCCACAUAAGCCUCAUUACAUGGUUAAAUAUCUGUUCUGUACCUUCAACUGAGAUUUCAUUUUUACAUACCUCCUUUUGUUUAGAAUAUCGUAGACUGAAAACAGGUAUUUAUUUGUAAUUGACAUUAUUUUGAUAGUAAUUAAUUUUAUUAGGUAGGCAGGAAGUUUGUUCAAUUCAAAAAUAUUUUGUAUAUAUAUAUAUAUAUAUAUUCGUUUUCAUUAACUAAUUUUUCCAAAGACGAAUGAACUUAUUAAGUGUAAAGUUACAAAUUAGUAACAGAUGAGUAGCGGACUAAGCACUAAUUACACGUACCUGAUAAUGUAGCAAGUGUUUCAGUGAAGUGGAUCAUCUCCGCGGGCUGUUUCCGUUUACAUAGAUUUUAAUAUACAAAUAAUAAAAUAAAGCAAGUCUUACUUUUCUUUAUUAUUUCGUGGUGGUAUCAUUUAUAUGAAACUCAGACUGGAGUUUUAUUUACCAUUUUUUUAUAUUACUGUUAUCCAGGAAAAUGAAUCGGUGUGUUGAUUUAUAAAAAAAUUGCAAAUACCUGUUGAAAACUGCAGUUAAACUUUUAUUUGACGUCAGGCAUGGCAUAAUGUUGUGCACACCCCGAACUAUUUUGCUCUUUAUAAAAGUGCCAUUCUCUCUUGUCAGCAUUUUGUGCUUCCGAGUAGUGAAAGUGGGGUUUUCCCCCACACCUAAAUUACGAGUAUUUGGAUCUUUAGGUCCCCACCCACCCUGUGUGCUGCUUUCACUGCCACAAACAGCUUAUUUACCCAAAAGAAAGGCUCUAUCACCUAUUCAUCCUGGUUCUUCCGCUUCUUGCUUGCUGACCUCGAUAGACAGAAUAGACACACAUGUAUAUAGGUAUGUAUGUAUGUACGUAUUAAUUUUUUCGUACAUUACUGGCUAUGCUAUCAACAUUAAGCCACCCAUGAAAUUUUAAAUCUUGUGCGGGGUGAAGAGAAAAUCAUUUUCCGAACACCCCCGGUUAAGUAUGACCCUAAGUUUUCCUGACCAGGGUUAUAAGAUUUUAAACCAAAAUCAUUGCCAUGUUUUUCUUCUUCUUCUGUCGGCAUUUAAAAACUAAGUGACAGUUGUAUCUUAACCUUGGGAUCUAUGAUUUGGACGUAUAGUCAGAAUAUAGAAUAUUCUUUUUAAAAACUAGGUGAAAGUUGUAUCUUAACCUUGGGAUCUAUGAUUUGGACGUAUAGUCAGAAUAUAGAAUAUUCUUUUUAAAAACUAGGUGACAGUUGUAUCUUAACCUUGGGAUCUACGACUUGACCGAAUAGUCAGAAUAUAGAAUAUUCUUUUUAAAAACUAGGUGACAG